rnacentral:rRNA from 1 species
GCUCAGAACGAACGCUGGCGGCAGGCCUAACACAUGCAAGUCGAGCGAGGACUUCGGUUCUAGCGGCGGACGGGUUAGUAACGCGUGGGAACGUGCCCUUUUCUACGGAAUAGCCUCGGGAAACUGAGAGUAAUACCGUAUACGCCCUUCGGGGGAAAGAUUUAUCGGAGAAGGAUCGGCCCGCGUUAGAUUAGAUAGUUGGUGGGGUAAUGGCCUACCAAGUCUACGAUCUAUAGCUGGUUUGAGAGGAUGAUCAGCAACACUGGGACUGAGACACGGCCCAGACUCCUACGGGAGGCAGCAGUGGGGAAUCUUAGACAAUGGGCGCAAGCCUGAUCUAGCCAUGCCGCGUGAGUGAUGAAGGCCUUAGGGUCGUAAAGCUCUUUCGCCUGUGAAGAUAAUGACUGUAGCAGGUAAAGAAACCCCGGCUAACUCCGUGCCAGCAGCCGCGGUAAUACGGAGGGGGUUAGCGUUGUUCGGAAUUACUGGGCGUAAAGCGCGCGUAGGCGGACAUUUAAGUCAGGGGUGAAAUCCCGGGGCUCAACCCCGGAACUGCCCUUGAUACUGGGUGUCUUGAGUUCGAGAGAGGUGAGUGGAAUUCCGAGUGUAGAGGUGAAAUUCGUAGAUAUUCGGAGGAACACCAGUGGCGAAGGCGGCUCACUGGCUCGAUACUGACGCUGAGGUGCGAAAGUGUGGGGAGCAAACAGGAUUAGAUACCCUGGUAGUCCACACCGUAAACGAUGAAUGCCAGUCGUCGGGCAGUAUACUGUUCGGUGACACACCUAACGGAUUAAGCAUUCCGC